rnacentral:rRNA from 1 species
CUACGGGAUGCAGCAGUUAGGGAUAUUCGGCAAUGGGGGAAACCCUGACCGAGCAAUGCCGCGUGAAUGAAGAAGUAUUUCGAUAUGUAAAGUUCUGUUGUUAAGGAAGAAAGGUACGAAUAGGAAAUGAUUCGUAAUUGACGGUACUUAACCAGAAAGCCCCUGCUAACUACGUGCCAGCAGCAGCGGUAAUACGUAGGGGGCGAGCGUUAUCCGGAAUUAUUGGGCGUAAAGGGUGCGUAGGCGGCCUGUCAAGUCCGAGUUGAAAGCCCACGGCUUAACCGUGGAGGGUGAUCGGAAACUGAUAGGCUUGAAGCCAGAAGAGGCAAGUGGAAUUCUAUGUGGAGCGGUGGAAUGCGUAGAUAUAUGGAGGAACACCAGUGGCGAAGGCGGCUUGCUGGGCUGGUAUUGACGCUGAUGCACGAAAGCGUGGGGAGCAAACAGGAUUAGAUACCCCGGUAGUC